AUUGAACGCUGGCGGCAGGCCUAACACAUGCAAGUCGGACGGUAGCACAGAGGAGCUUGCUCUUCGGGUGACGAGUGGCGGACGGGUGAGUAAUGUCUGGGGAUCUGCCCGAUAGAGGGGGAUAACCACUGGAAACGGUGGCUAAUACCGCAUAACGUCGCAAGACCAAAGAGGGGGACCUUCGGGCCUCUCACUAUCGGAUGAACCCAGAUGGGAUUAGCUAGUAGGCGGGGUAACGGCCCACCUAGGCGACGAUGCCUAGCUGGUCUGAGAGGAUGACCAGCCACACUGGAGCUGAGACACGGUCCAGGCUCCGACGGGAGGCAGCAGUGGGGAAUAUUGCGCAAUGGGCGCAAGCCUGAUGCAGCCAUGCCGCGUGUAUGAAGAAGGCCUUCGGGUUGUAAAGUACUUUCAGCGGGGAGGAAGGCGAUGUGGUUAAUAGCCGCGUCGAUUGACGUUACCCGCAGAAGAAGCACCGGCUAACUCCGUGCCAGCCGCCGCGGUAA
rnacentral:rRNA from 1 species